AAAGCUUGGCGAUACAGGGUGAUAGCCCCGUAACCGACGCUUCAUCGAGCGUGAAAUCGAGUAGGGCGGGACACGUGAUAUCCUGUCUGAAUAUGGGGGGACCAUCCUCCAAGGCUAAAUACUCCUGACUGACCGAUAGUGAACCAGUACCGUGAGGGAAAGGCGAAAAGAACCCCUGUGAGGGGAGUGAAAUAGAACCUGAAACCGUGUACGUACAAGCAGUAGGAGCACCUUCGUGGUGUGACUGCGUACCUUUUGUAUAAUGGGUCAGCGACUUAUAUUCAGUGGCAAGGUUAACCGUAUAGGGGAGCCGUAGCGAAAGCGAGUCUUAACUGGGCGCUCAGUCUCUGGAUAUAGACCCGAAACCGGGUGAUCUAGCCAUGGGCAGGUUGAAGGUUGAGUAACAUCAACUGGAGGACCGAACCGACUAAUGUUGAAAAAUUAGCGGAUGACUUGUGGCUAGGGGUGAAAGGCCAAUCAAACUCGGAGAUAGCUGGUUCUCCCCGAAAGCUAUUUAGGUAGCGCCUCGGACGAAUACUACUGGGGGUAGAGCACUGUUAAGGCUAGGGGGUCAUCCCGACUUACCAACCCUUUGCAAACUCCGAAUACCAGUAAGUACUAUCCGGGAGACACACGGCGGGUGCUAACGUCCGUCGUGGAGAGGGAAACAACCCAGACCGCCAGCUAAGGUCCCAAAGUAUUGCUAAGUGGGAAACGAUGUGGGAAGGCUCAGACAGCUAGGAUGUUGGCUUAGAAGCAGCCAUCAUUUAAAGAAAGCGUAAUAGCUCACUAGUCGAGUCGGCCUGCGCGGAAGAUGUAACGGGGCUAAGCAAUACACCGAAGCUGCGGCAAUAUCUUUUAGAUAUUGGGUAGGGGAGCGUUCUGUAAGCCGUUGAAGGUGAAUCGUAAGGUUUGCUGGAGGUAUCAGAAGUGCGAAUGCUGACAUGAGUAACGACAAAGGGGGUGAAAAACCUCCUCGCCGGAAGACCAAGGGUUCCUGUCCAACGUUAAUCGGGGCAGGGUGAGUCGACCCCUAAGGUGAGGCCGAAAGGCGUAAUCGAUGGGAAACGGGUUAAUAUUCCCGUACUUCUGACUAUUGCGAUGG
rnacentral:rRNA from 1 species